rnacentral:ncRNA from 1 species
UGCGGGGAGUCCGAUGAUGGGCUGAGAGUAAGCAAGCGCUUAGACCCUUUGAACCUGAUGUGGGUAAUGCCAAUGUAGGAAAGCGUCAU